rnacentral:pre_miRNA from 1 species
UUUCUACUCCCUCCGUCCGAAAAUACUUGUCAUCAAAAUGGAUAAAAAGAGAUGUAUCUAAAACUAAAAUAUGUCUAGAUACAUUUCCUUUUAUCCAUUUUGAUGACAAGUAUUUCCGGACGGAGGGAGUAUUUA